UACGGAGGGUGCGAGCGUUAAUCGGAAUUACUGGGCGUAAAGCGCAUGCAGGUGGUUUGUUAAGUCAGAUGUGAAAGCCCGGGGCUCAACCUCGGAAGGUCAUUUGAAACUGGCAAACUAGAGUACUGUAGAGGGGGGUAGAAUUUCAGGUGUAGCGGUGAAAUGCGUAGAGAUCUGAAGGAAUACCAGUGGCGAAGGCGGCCCCCUGGACAGAUACUGACACUCAGAUGCGAAAGCGUGGGGAGCAAACAGGAUUAGAAACCCCGGUA
rnacentral:rRNA from 1 species